GAUGAACGCUGGCGGCGUGCCUAAUACAUGCAAGUCGAGCGAACAGAUAAGGAGCUUGCUCCUUUGACGUUAGCGGCGGACGGGUGAGUAACACGUGGGUAACCUACCUAUAAGACUGGAAUAACUCCGGGAAACCGGGGCUAAUGCCGGAUAACAUUUAGAACCGCAUGGUUCUAAGGUGAAAGAUGGUUUUGCUAUCACUUAUAGAUGGACCCGCGCCGUAUUAGCUAGUUGGUAAGGUAACGGCUUACCAAGGCAACGAUACGUAGCCGACCUGAGAGGGUGAUCGGCCACACUGGAACUGAGACACGGUCCAGACUCCUACGGGAGGCAGCAGUAGGGAAUCUUCCGCAAUGGGCGAAAGCCUGACGGAGCAACGCCGCGUGAGUGAUGAAGGUCUUCGGAUCGUAAAACCCUGUUAUUAGGGAAGAACAAAUGUGUAAGUAACUGUGCACGUCUUGACGGUACCUAAUCAGAAAGCCACGGCUAACUACGUG
rnacentral:rRNA from 1 species